rnacentral:rRNA from 1 species
CCUACGGGGGGCAGCAGUGGGGAAUAUUGCACAAUGGGGGAAACCCUGAUGCAGCGACGCCGCGUGAGUGAAGAAGUAUUUCGGUAUGUAAAGCUCUAUCAGCAGGAACGAGACAAGACGGUACCUGACUAAGAAGCCCCGGCUAACUACGUGCCAGCAGCCGCGGUAAUACGUAGGGGGCAAGAGUUAUCCGGAAUCACUGGGUGGAAAGGGAGCGUAGACGGCUGUGCAAGCCUGAAGUGAAAGGCGGGGGCCCAACCCCUGGACUGCUUGGGGAACUGUACGGCUGGAGUGCAGGAGAGGUAAGUGGAAUGCCUAGUGGAGCGGUGAAAUGCGUAGAUAUUAGGAGGAACACCAGUGGCGAAGGCGGCUUACUGGACUGUAACUGACGUUGAGGCUCGAAAGCGUGGGGAGCAAACAGGAUUAGAUACCCUUGUAGUC